AGGACGAACGCUGGCGGCGCGCUUAACACAUGCAAGUCGAGCGAGAACCGGGGCUUCGGCCCCGGGGACAGCGGCGAACGGGUGAGUAACACGUGGAUAACCUGCCCUCGGCACCGGGAUAGCCCAGGGAAACCCGGAUUAAUACCGGAUGGCCCUUCCGACUUUCGAGUCGGUUGGCAAAGGUAGCUUCGGCCUCCGGCCGAGGAUGGGUCCGCGGCGGAUUAGCUUUGUUGGUGGGUAAUGGCCUACCAAGGCUUCGAUCCGUAGCUGGUCUGAGACGGACGAUCGAGCCACACUGGACUGAGACACGGCCCAGACUCCGUACGGGAGGCAGCGAGUGGGAAUCUGCG
rnacentral:rRNA from 1 species